AUGAACGCUAGCUACAGGCUUAACACAUGCAAGUCGAGGGGCAUCAGGAAGAAAGCUUGCUUUCUUUGCUGGCGACCGGCGCACGGGUGAGUAACACGUAUCCAACCUGCCCUUUACUCGGGGAUAGCCUUUCGAAAGAAAGAUUAAUACCCGAUGGCAUAAUGAUUCCGCAUGGUUUCAUUAUUAAAGGAUUCCGGUAAAGGAUGGGGAUGCGUUCCAUUAGGUUGUUGGUGAGGUAACGGCUCACCAAGCCUUCGAUGGAUAGGGGUUCUGAGAGGAAGGUCCCCCACAUUGGAACUGAGACACGGUCCAAACUCCUACGGGAGGCAGCAGUGAGGAAUAUUGGUCAAUGGGCGCUAGCCUGAACCAGCCAAGUAGCGUGAAGGAUGAAGGCUCUAUGGGUCGUAAACUUCUUUUAUAUAAGAAUAAAGUGCAGUAUGUAUACUGUUUUGUAUGUAUUAUAUGAAUAAGGAUCGGCUAACUCCGUGCCAGCAGCCGCGGUAAUACGGAGGAUCCGAGCGUUAUCCGGAUUUAUUGGGUUUAAAGGGAGCGUAGGUGGACUGGUAAGUUAGUUGUGAAAGUUUGCGGCUCAACCGUAAAAUUGCAGUUGAUACUGUCAGUCUUGAGUACAGUAGAGGUGGGCGGAAUUCGUGGUGUAGCGGUGAAAUGCUUAGAUAUCACGAAGAACUCCGAUUGCGAAGGCAGCUCACUGGACUGCAACUGACACUGAUGCUCGAAAGUGUGGGUAUCAAACAGGAUUAGAUACCCUGGUAGUCCACACAGUAAACGAUGAAUACUCGCUGUUUGCGAUAUACAGUAAGCGGCCAAGCGAAAGCAUUAAGUAUUCCACCUGGGGAGUACGCCGGCAACGGUGAAACUCAAAGGAAUUGACGGGGGCCCGCACAAGCGGAGGAACAUGUGGUUUAAUUCGAUGAUACGCGAGGAACCUUACCCGGGCUUAAAUUGCAGUGGAAUGAUGUGGAAACAUGUCAGUGAGCAAUCACCGCUGUGAAGGUGCUGCAUGGUUGUCGUCAGCUCGUGCCGUGAGGUGUCGGCUUAAGUGCCAUAACGAGCGCAACCCUUAUCUUUAGUUACUAACAGGUCAUGCUGAGGACUCUAGAGAGACUGCCGUCGUAAGAUGUGAGGAAGGUGGGGAUGACGUCAAAUCAGCACGGCCCUUACGUCCGGGGCUACACACGUGUUACAAUGGGGGGUACAGAAGGCAGCUAGCGGGUGACCGUAUGCUAAUCCCAAAAUCCUCUCUCAGUUCGGAUCGAAGUCUGCAACCCGACUUCGUGAAGCUGGAUUCGCUAGUAAUCGCGCAUCAGCCACGGCGCGGUGAAUACGUUCCCGGGCCUUGUACACACCGCCCGUCAAGCCAUGGGAGCCGGGGGUACCUGAAGUACGUAACCGCAAGGAUCGUCCUAGGGUAAAACUGGUGACUGGGGCU
rnacentral:rRNA from 1 species